rnacentral:tRNA from 1 species
UGUAAUGUGGUUCAGUUGACAGAGCACCUGCCUGGCAUGCACGAAGCCCUGGGUGCAAUCCCCAGCCCUGCAA